UUGGAGGGGCAAGUCUGGUGCCAGCAGCCGUGGUAAUUCCAGCUCCAAUAGCGUAUAUUAAAGUUGUUGCAGUUAAAAAGCUCGUAGUUGAAUUUCGGGAUCAAUGUUUCGGUCAUGCCGUUGGUAUGUACUGAUAUUAUUGAUUUCUCACCUUCUAAAGAACCGUAAUGCCAUUAAUUUGGUGUCACGGGGAAUUAGGACUGUUACCUUGAAAAAAUUAGAGUGUUUAAAGCAGGCUCACGCUUGAAUACAUUAGCAUGGAAUAAUGAAAUAGGACAUCCGAUUCUAUUUUGUUGGUUUCUAGGAUCGAUGUAAUGAUUAAUAGGGAUAGUUGGGGGCAUUAGUAUUCAAUUGUCAGAGGUGAAAUUCUUGGAUUUAUUGAAGACUAACUACUGCGAAAGCAUUUGCCAAGGAUGUUUUCAUUAAUCAGGAACGAAAGUUAGGGGAUCGAAGACGAUCAGAUACCGUCGUAGUCUUAACCAUAAACUAUGCCGACUAGGGAUCGGAUGAUGUUAAUUUUUUAAUGACUCAUUCGGCGCCUUACGGGAAACCAAAGUGUUUGGGUUC
rnacentral:rRNA from 1 species